UAAAAGAAAAGGAAGAUAAAAGCGUGAAUCUAAGGAGAGAGAAAAGAGAAAAUAAAUAGCCUAAAAGCAUGGAUCUAAGGAGAUUUCUCCAAAUCUCGAACAGAGCUUUUCCUCUUCUUCUCCCAAACCCUAGACCUGUUGCCGCCAGUCACUCUUUCUGUAUUCGGCCACACCAGUCAAACAGAAAAGGAAGGUCGUCUUUCGAAUUUCUCUUUGUUUCUUGAUCCGAACAGACCAUCACUCAAGCACAACGUCGCCGUCCCUUCAUCGUCUCUAUUCGAUAGUUUGAAAGAUAAAUGGUUGAUGCAGAAUCACCGUGUUAGAGUUCGAACAACCACCGUGGCCAACUUCACUUGUAAGGCUAUUGAUAGUAAAAAAACAGAGGACAUGGACAAUAAAGCUCAUUUUAGGUUUUGGAUGAUCUAUGCUACCAACAGAUUAUGAAGGCUUGAGUUUUAGAACUUACCACAUCAACUCAAUGUAUGGCCAAUACUAAUUCAACCAAUGCACUAAGGCAAGUUAGUUUUAAUCUCUCUGUCUUGAAAAAGUGGUUUGGAUGUCAAAAGAAUAUUUCUCUUCUAACUACAUUUAUUACUACUUUUCACCCUAGCAAUUAUGUCUAGAGUUGCAUGGUUAUUUUUUAUUUAAAUUUGAAUGUUUUUUUUUUUUUUGGUUUAAGCAAGUUUUGACCGACUGACAUAUGCAAGGUACCAUGUAAUAUGAUAUUCUUUCAUAACUAUUUGUACUUCAAUCAUGAACCAAUACUAACAAUAUUAAUUCUUAGGACUUGUCAGCAACAUUGGUUAGGGUACUAGAUGAAGAAUCCUUCAAGCUAUACACACUUAUUUGGUCAAGAACAGUUACAAGUCAGAUGGAAACGACUAUUUUUGAGAAGGUUAGAAUAUAAAAUAGCCAUCGAGAGAUAAGAAAUCGAGAGGUUAUGAACUUGAAGAGGACGACAUAGGUGAUAAACUUCAAAAGAACGACAUAGAUGAUGAAGAGGGUGAUGAUGAGUUCGACAAACUUAAAUGAGUUGGAUGAUGUUGUUUUAUGCUUGUACUUAAGCAUUAAACUUAAACUGAAAUCAUGUAUUUUGUUAUUUUUCUAGACUUAUAUUUCUAAGUAUUAAAUUUAUAGUAUUAAGUAAUGUUACACAUUGUGUCCAUUAUUUGAGUUAAUGUUGAAAAGUUUAUUAA